rnacentral:rRNA from 1 species
UACGUAGGGGGCAAGCGUUGUCCGGAAUCAUUGGGCGUAAAGAGCGUGUAGGCGGCCCGGUAAGUCCGCUGUGAAAGUCCAGGGCUCAACCCUGGAAUGCCGGUGGAAACUGUCGGGCUAGAGUCCGGAAGAGGCGAGUGGAAUUCCUGGUGUAGCGGUGAAAUGCGCAGAUAUCAGGAGGAACACCAAUGGCGAAGGCAGCUCGCUGGGACGGUACUGACGCUGAGACGCGAAAGCGUGGGAGCAAACAGG